UACGUAGGGGGCAAGCGUUGUCCGGAUUUAUUGGGCGUAAAGAGCGUGUAGGCGGCCAGACAGGUCCGUUGUGAAAACUAGAGGCUUAACCUCUAGACGUCGAUGGAAACCGUUUGGCUAGAGUCCGGAAGAGGAGAAUGGAAUUCCUGGUGGAGCGGUGAAAUGCGUAGAGAUCGGAAAGAACACCAACGGCGAAAGCACUCUGCUGGGCCGACACUGACACUGAGAGACGAAAGCUAGGGGAGCGAAUGGG
rnacentral:rRNA from 1 species